rnacentral:lncRNA from 1 species
UUGUGGCAUUGACCUCUAUAAUACCUGAAGAAUCGUCAUGCCUUCAGUAAUUCUCAAAUAUAUCGAUACCUAGGCGUUGAAACUUAUAAAAUGUAUUAUUUUUCGAAAGAAAAUGAAUUUCUAAAUCCAUUAAGUAUAAGUAGGUAUAUAGUAUAAGUAGGUAGGUCCAUUAAGUAGGUACUAAUAGAGGUCAAUGACUUGUGGUGAUGACCAAUGCAAUGACGAAGUUGUACUUUAAAGUGAUUUAAUUCGAGAAGAAAGGACAAUGCAGCUUGUCUUCCACGUUGGUGGCAGGGCUUGCCCGGCUGACCGAUGCAUUGGCAAUGGUUGGUACAGCUCACCUGGGGCGGCGGUGGCAGCAUUCGCCGUAUCCGAUCAUCUCCUAGUCUUGGAGCGCCGUGCAUGGGAGGUGCACCGGCCGGCAGCAUGGACCCGGUGCAGUUAGCCUAGCUCGGCCAGUCGGCCCAGCUUGUUCUCUCCCGGGCCGCGGUCCGACGUCGAGCGAGCUUAGGCGGGCCGGUCACAUGCUGCAGCUACAGAGCCGAGAUGGUGGACCUCGUCGCAGCGCUGCGCGAGCUGCUGGACCACUCAGAGGAUGAGCAGGGGGACCCACUAGUCAUCUGCCAAACUACGGAGUACGGACAGCCAGCCGGCCCUUUGCUCGAGACCGGCGACACAGCAGUGAAUACUCGAAGUUGCAGUGUGGCAGUCCCUGCUUGCGCGGGGAGAAAGAUGACCGGAUUCACAACGCCGGUUCCGGUGCGGGCUGUAGGGUAAUAAGCGUGCCGACAGUCGACACACUAGCCAAGGAGGCGGCACAGUUACCGCAGGGGCCGACCAUGCUGGACGUAUGUUCGCACGGUACACCGAACAGCCGUAAGAACAGCGCGGCCGAUGGCGAAAUGGCCCGAGGGCUGGUACGCGGACGCGGCCACGGCGGGCGAUACGUGCAGUGUAGGCCCAGGGCUGCGGUCGGAGUCGGAGUCGGAGUCGGUCGGAGUCGACAGUUGUGACCGGAGUCGGAGUCGGAGUCGGAGUCGAUUUUAGAAACCCGAGCCGGAGUCGGAGUCACCGAAAAUCUGUCGACUCCGCAGCCCUGCUAGGUCUGCGGAGUCGGAGUCGGGAGUUGGAGUCGGUCGGAGUCGACAAUUCUGCCCGGAGUCGGAGUCGGAGUCGGAGCUGGUUUUUGAAAGUCGGAGUCAGAGUCGGAGUCGGAGUCGCCGUAAAUCCAUCGACUCCGCAGCCCUGUGUAGCAGCUUCACGUCCUGACACGCCGCGCUGCACUGAUGUUACUACCAGCAAGACUGUCCAGUGAUCUUCUGAAGAAGUUGAACCGCAAACACCGUUGGCCGCUUUUGACGCUAUCUAUACUACAGAGACCCAUUCCGGCUCCGAAAUGUUCAUGCAGACUCGUGGACGACAGUCCGGUGGUGUCCUGUGGACGAAGAUAGCAAAGCAUCUACGUGGAUGGCGCGCUGGGCGGCUCGUCCGUCGCGUCACAAGACUGUGGCCUCUCUGCGCGUCACAAGACUUUUGUGUGUGGCCUCUCUGCGUGCCGCAAGACCAGGUGGACUCGCCGCUGCGUUGGCUAUGGCGGGGGCCGGCGGCGGUGUGCAACACGACUGCUGUGUGGCUUCUCAGUCUGCGUGCCUCGCCGCUGCGCUGGCUGUGGCGGGAGCCGGCGGCGGCGGUGCUCUGCGAAAUACCAACUGGAGCGGUCGAGCGAAUGACUCAAGGCUUCCGGACGUCAUCGGGGAUCCUGGACAUGGCUUUGCAAAUCAUGCAGAUCAGAUCUGCGCUUCCUAUCGAGUCUUGCCCCUGCGGAGGCGAUGCGGCGCCAAGCCGCCGAGGCGUCCUGACCGGCGGGCUUGUCACCCAAAGUUUAACGGAGGCAUGGUGGCGCUAAGGACGGUCGGCGCGGCACGGUCUGUCACGGGAUUGACAGUGUUGCAUGGAGUGAACCCUUUGGUGGAAAUAGGGUGCUGGUCGGGGUGAUAACCUAACUUUGAAUGAGAUAGUUGCGAGGAUGAUCAGAUGAUAGAUAAGAGCGGGAAGCGGGGAGGAAUUACACCGGUGCUAGGUUAAGUUCGUUAUGAUCAAAGUAUAACUGUGAUAAUUGUACGAUUCAUUUGCUGUGCAGUUGGUCAUUGUGACGUUCAUCCCCCCUUUCCCGUAGCCGUAUGUAUGAGAACGAUAGUUCCGGUGAGUUUUAACUAACAUUCGUUAUCUAUCAUGAUGGAUGUAUUUGUUUGGCGGACUUGUCUGUACUUUAAACACGACCUGUGUGCUUCCCCUACCGCGAUAUUACUGAUAUACCUAUUCGAAUGCCAUGAAUUUCACGCAUCAGACGUAACUGUGGUGACUUUAUUGUGAACAUAAGUGAGUACGAUUGGCGGGCAACACAUCCCCACUAUAUAGUUUUGGUGACCAAUGAUCAUUCAUAUUCGUGAUCGUGGUAACCUCGGUAAUUUGCCGUUUGUGAGACUGUUCGGCGCGGUGAGAGCUGUAUCUGCAGAGCUGAGUUCGGAGUUCGGACCGAGCAUGUUGGUUCUGCGCUGUUGGUUGCUACUCUGUGCUCGUGGUAAAUUCACAUCAUUUAUAAUUGAAUGACAACUCAAGUUUCGCCUCAGUUUUGCGUGUGAGUGCUGAAGCUUAGUUCCGUUUUAAAUUCGUUAACGUGCGUUUUGUGCGCAUAUUUUAACCCGGACUUCUUGAAGUACUGAGAUGAAUAUACGAAUUGCUGGGA